CUGAAUCACACAUGCACAGUAUCAUCAGCUCAUCGGUUCUCGAAUCGGACGCGUACGACAGAAACGGUUCCUGACUCAAGAACGAAUCAAUCUUUCUUUCAUUAUCUGGCUCGGCUCGGUGUUCAUCUACAGUUCUCUCUUCACAGCAGUUCAGUCAGUGUACUGUUUGAGUAAAUGAAUUACUCCGGGAUAUUGGUUUGUUUGAACUCAGAGGGAGUGUCAGCCACAUUAAAAAGUUAACAGCUUAAGUCAUUUGUGGAUUAAUACUUAUUGGAGACGCGAACCGUUUCAAACGAUUCAGUUCGAUUUGGUGAACUGGUUCAAGAAGAUCCAGUUACACUGAAUGAUUCAUUCGCAAACAGGAUAUCACAAACUGCAGUGAACGUGCUCACAACAGACCUGGAAGAGAUGACAAUGCUGAAUAAAGUCAUAGUUUUUGCUAUUUUUGGACCAAAAUGAAAGAAAUUCUAACUGACCCUCUGAUGUCACAUGGACUACUUUGAAGAUGUUUUAUUACCUUUCUGGACAUGGACAGUAUACUGUACAUACAUUUUACAAGGAGGGACAGAAAGCUCUCAGACUAAAUCUAAAAUAUCUUAAACUGUGUUCCGAAGAUGAACGGAGGUGUUACGAGUUUGGAACGACUUGAGGAUCCGGCCCAAAACGGACAGGAGUUUCUAAUAGGGGGCGAGUUGCUAAGGGACAGAGCUUCGAAAGAGAGCGCCACCAUGGAGCAGCCGAGAACCAGCUGCAGCAAGCCGAGGGAGAGCAGCGGGCGAGCGGGCAGCAGCGCCGGGAUGAGCCGCGUCUGAGAUCCAGACAUACGGGACGGAAGAGCGGACACACGGCGGCUGCGGCUUCUGUACGAGGCGUCUGCGAACUGAUGGGCCAAAGCAGCCCCCGAUAAACGACAACAAGAUCCAGGCAGAACUACGGGCAGAGACAUUGGAGACGCACGAGCAGCCCAACAACUAUAAACAUUAAAGCAGCAUCUCGCCGCUCCCUAAUUUUACUCUGUAUUUCUCAAGGCGCCGAUAAUUUCAAUAAUAACCAACUGCCCGUUCCGCGUUACUUCCAUGGUCCUGUCGAGGUAGUUGAGUAUUGGUUUUAAAAUAACUAAGCUCAAUGACCUGCUGCUCGGAUUCGGUUUCAUAGUUUUUGGGCAGCGCUAGUGGACUGGCGGGGGAGGGGCGCGUGGGAAGAAGAGGCCACACGGGUCUCUCUCUGGUCCGCGAGUGUUUAUAUAUAUAUAUAUAUA